AGAAUUGGUGGGGUGAAGUGAGAAGUGAAAAAGGUGUCCAUAAAAGCAACAAAACAGGAGCAGCAUCACUCAGAUGCUCAGAACCAAAAAAUGUAAGAUUGCAAUCAGAUUGGAAAUGGUUACAGAAAUGUUUAACAGCCCCUCAACUCUAUGCUAUAAUCAGACCAGGUUCAAGACAUUAGAGCCACGUGAUGCAAGGGGCAGGAACCCCAGAACGGCCUUCUGGAGACUGAGAAGUCAC